GCAUGUGGUUUAAUUCGAAGCAACGCGAAGAACCUUACCAGGCCUUGACAUGCAGAGAACUUUCCAGAGAUGGAUUGGUGCCUUCGGGAACUCUGACACAGGUGCUGCAUGGCUGUCGUCAGCUCGUGUCGUGAGAUGCUGGGUUAAGUCCGUAACGAGCGCAACCCUUGUCCUUAGUUACCAGCACGUUAUGGUGGGCACUCUAAGGAGACUGCCGGUGACAAACCGGAGGAAGGUGGGGAUGACGUCAAGUCAUCAUGGCCCUUACGGCCUGGGCUACACACGUGCUACAAUGGUCGGUACAAAGGGUUGCCAAGCCGCGAGGUGGAGCUAAUCCCAUAAAACCGAUCGUAGUCCGGAUCGCAGUCUGCAACUCGACUGCGUGAAGUCGGAAUCGCUAGUAAUCGUGAAUCAGAAUGUCACAGUGAAUACGUUCCCGGGCCUU
rnacentral:rRNA from 1 species